rnacentral:lncRNA from 1 species
AGAGAGUGUAGAGAGUGGUGUGGGGAGAGUGCAGGCUGAAGAGUUACCUAAGGUCAAAAUCCUGACCUAUGAGCCAAGCCAUCGAUUUGGGAUUUCUACUGAGGACACUGGAAGUCACUAAGAGCAUCUGAAUGGUUAUGUGAAGUUGGCAGUUCCCAAGGGCUUUAGGCUUGAAGCUGUGGGUCAUACCCCUUCGGAAACUUGGUCCCCAAGAGAAAUGUAUGCUUCUGAAAACCACAGGUGCAUGAAUCGUGUUUAGUAAAUGACUACUAAACUGAAAUCAGGACUUGUCUAUAUCUUGGCUUCUCAAACUUGAAUAUGCUUAUCAUCUGGAUAGCAAAAGCAUUCCUACACGUUGAGGCCUGCCAGCGUGGGUGUCACCCAGGAGCCACUCGGAAAGGCUCAUCGGAAACCACCCCGGACUGACUGAGGCAGAAUCUCUGGGGGCAGGACCCAGGCCUCAGCAUAAAAACUCCAGGUGACGGAAGAGCUCCCACCUAACAGGUGUGUUGGCAUUGUUGUAGGUGACUGACGUAGUU